GGUACAGGUGAUAUCAAGUCCUGGACCUGGGCUGGCUGGAUUCAAGAAAGCACUGAUGUGUACCAGGAAGGUUGUUUGGUUGAAAGUAGUAAGAAGCAGAAGGCAUGAGCUCAUGGAGAGCACCACCCACAUUGAAUUGGGUACAGAAUAGGAAGGUUCAGUUUAAUAAAAAUUUACCUGGUACCUACUAUGACCAGGCAUCAGAUGAAUUAGCCAGGACAUAGCACAAUGACUACCACAUAGCAGAUAUUCAAAAUCUUUAUUGAAAUAGUGAAUGAAAUCUGUCCAUGGCCUCAAGAGAAAAUAGACUCAUAAAUGUAUCAUCGCAAAAGCACAGAGGAGAGAGCAUCUAACUCAACCUGGAGGAAAUGUCAUGCCAAACAAAAGGGACAUCAGAUGCAGAGGCGUUUUCACAUCCAAUUAGCUACCCUGUGAGGUAGAGGGGAUGCCAUUCUACAUACAGAUGAUGAAACUGAGCUUCAGAGUUCCACUUCUUGCCCAAGGUCACAUAUCUAACAACUGGCAGCCCAGAAGUAGAACCCAUGCCUCCAACUCCUGAUCCAAGGUUCAUUUCCAAUAAAUGGAUCAUUACUUAUUGAUACAGGCAAUGCCACAGUACUUUGGAGACCCCAAGAAUAGAACCACACCCUGUCUCAUCAAAGCAGCACCUUGGAGGGGUGGCCAAGAGCUCAGACUCUGAAAUCUGACUGAACUGCUAUCCAUUCACCACCUUGUCACUUAUUAGAUGUGUGAUUUUUUUUUUCUUUUGAGACGGAGUCUUGCUCUGUCGCCCAGGCUGGAGUGCAGUGGCAUGAUCUCGGCUCACUGCAACCUCCGCCUCCCGAGUUCAAGCGAUUCUCCUACCUCAGCCUCUAGAGUAGCUGGGACCACAGGCGUGCACCACCACACCUGGCUAAUUUUUGUAUUUUUAAUAGAGAUGAGGUUCCACUGUGUUGGCCGGGCUAAUCUUGAACUCCUGACCUCAGGUGAUCCGCCUGCCUUGGCCUCCCAAAGUGCUGGGAUUACAGGCGUAAGCCACCACGCCAGGCCUAGAUGUGUGAUCUUAAGAAAAAUAUUUUAUCUGUCUGAAUCUCUGCUUUAUACAUCUUUUUAAAAUGGAGAAUAAUAAUAACACAAACGCCUAGUGAACCUCUCAUCUUUUAUGCCCCCUUCUCAUGACUCAGUCCCCCUCUUCUGGCAAGACUAUGUAGAUUUUUUCCUUUCGGGACGCACCCCUCCUCCAUCCCCAGUCCUUCUGUUUCAGCUGAAGCUAACUCCACCCCCAGUUCCAGAUGUAGGCACAUGACUGAGGCUUGGCCAAUCAGAAUAUUCUGUGUCCGAACACAGUGAUUGGUUCAGAGAUUAACAAUGACGCAAGUUGGAGACCCAAUUAUAGUAUGAGCCUCUGGGAAGGAGAACCUGCCUUCCCAAUGGGUUUGCUGAGCAUGUCACUGGCACCCCUAUAACUGCUAGAGGCUAACUAGCCGUCACUGAAAAAAGGGGGACAGAGAAGCUGCUUGAGAGUGAAGUCGACCCAGAAGAAAACAGAAUAGAAAGAUGGAAAAAGAUUGGCGACAUUUUUUUUUUUUUUAAUUGGGACAGUCUCAUUCUAUUAUGCAGGCUGGAGUGCAGUUGCGCGAUCUCGGCUCACUGCAACCUCCACCUCCUGGGUUCAAGCAGUUCUCCUGCCUCAGCCUCCCGAGUAGCUGGGAUUACAGGUGCCUGCCACCACGCCUGGUUAAUUUUUGCAUUUUUAGUAGAGACAGCGUUUCUCCAAGUUGGCCAGGCUGGUCUCAAAUUCCUGACCUCAAGUGAUCCACCCACCUCGGCCUCCCAAAGUUCUGGGAUUACAGGCGUGAGCCACCACGCCUGGCCUGGCGACAUAAACUCCUGGAUCGAGUUGUGCCUCGUUCCCCUGGACUUGCCAUUUCAUGAACCAAAACAUCUUUUCCCCCUGGAGCCAUUUUGACAUGGAAUUCUAUUAUUUUUAACCAAAAGAGCCCUAGCAUGCUGGUUCCUAUGAAGGCUGGAUGGGAUAGCGUGAGUAAUGCUUGUGGAGCACUUCGCACAGAGCAAGGGCUCAAAAAAAAUGACUCUUGUUAUUUUGUCUUCCCUGGCCUGAACCACCUCAUUACCCUCAAAAUGAUUAGCACAGCAAGUGGCCAUAACACUGAGGACAGAGCUGCUGACUUGGCCUGAUGCAUUCACUGGCUUCCUUCU
rnacentral:lncRNA from 1 species